UGAAACUGAUCUAUGUGUGCCAUUGA
rnacentral:piRNA from 1 species